rnacentral:rRNA from 1 species
CCUACGGGAGGCUGCAGUGAGGAAUAUUGGUCAAUGGACGGAAGUCUGAACCAGCGAUGCCGCGUGAAGGACGACGGCUCUCUGAGUUGUAAACUGCUUUUGUACAAGGGUAAAUCUGUAUAAGUGUCUUCAGAUGAAUGUACUGUACGAAUAAGGAUCGGCUCACUCCGUUCCAGCAGCCGCGGUACUACGGAGGAUCGAAGCGUUAUCCGGAUUUAUUGGGUUUAACGGGUGCGUAGGCGGAUUGAUAAGUUAGAGGGGAAAUGUCCGAGCUUAACUCGGGAAAUGCCACUAAUACUGUAGAUCUAGAGAGUAGAUGCGGAAUGCAGAAUGUAUGGUGUAGCGGUGAAAUGCUUAGAGAUCAUACAGAACACCGAUUGCGAAGGCAGCUUACCAAUCUAUAUCUGACGUUGAGGCACGAAAGCGUGGGGAGCAAACAGGAUUAGAUACCCCUGUAGUC